rnacentral:rRNA from 1 species
UACGUAGGGGGCAAGCGUUAUCCGGAUUUACUGGGUGUAAAGGGAGCGCAGACGGCAGUGCAAGUCUGAUGUGAAAGCCCGGGGCUCAACCCCGGAACUGCAUUGGAAACUGUACAGCUUGAGUGUCGGAGAGGUAAGCGGAAUUCCUAGUGUAGCGGUGAAAUGCGUAGAUAUUAGGAGGAACACCGGUGGCGAAGGCGGCUUACUGGAUGAUGACUGACGUUGAGGCUCGAAAGCGUGGGGAGCAAACAGG